GAGUUUGAUCGUGGCUCAGGACGAACGCUGGCGGCGUGCUUAACACAUGCAAGUGGUGCGACGAACCAGGGCUUGCCCUGGGGCCAAGCCGCGAACGGGUGAGUAACACGUGAGUAACCUGCCCCGAUGACCGGGACAACCCGAGGAAACUCGGGCUAAUACCGGAUGUUGCGCACAGGCGUAAGCCUGUUCGCUAAAGGAAGCUUCGGCCUCCGCAUUGGGAGGGGCUCGCGGCCCAUUAGCUUGUUGGUGGGGUUACGGCCUACCAAGGCGACGAUGGGUAGCUGGUCUGAGAGGACGAUCAGCCACACUGGGACUGAGACACGGCCCAGACUCCUACGGAGGCAGCAGUGGGGAAUCUUGCGCAAUGCGCG
rnacentral:rRNA from 1 species